rnacentral:lncRNA from 1 species
ACUUGGAGUCGGGCCAUGGACCCACCAGGGGCUAGCUGUCUGUUUGGGGACAAGUCACUUAAUUGCUCCAAGACUCAGUUUUCUCCUCAGUAAAAUGAGGCUACUCUAAGAUCAGUCCCUGUUUGACAGUCAUUGUGAGGAAGGGCAUUUGAUUCUAUCACAGGUGCAUUCCUUAAUGCCCUAUGUGAAUUGUAGUCAUUAUUACCAUGGAUUCAAGGCCUUGUCCUGCGGUUCGCCUUCCUUGUGUUGGGUGCUUCCCCACUCUUCCAUGUGGACAGUCGUCCAUGAUGUCCCUGCCAGAGCUGAUCACAUUUCUUCAAUGCCGAGGGAUCCAUCAGGCUGCUGCUAGCCGAGAGUCUUCAGCAGAAUUCGAUUCAGGUGGAAAAUUCGGCUUCCCGGGAUGACUGGCCGGGCCUUGGGCUUUCCAUGACUGCUGCUUCGUGCUUGGGCUCUGUGCUGCAUGAGGCCUCGCCUCAGCACCCGCAGUCUCAGAGAGGUGUGCCAGCCCAGAAGGCAUCUCUGGUCAUGGGAUGGACACUGAUGCCCCAGCUACGGGCAGAAGAUACGGCAUCACCAUCUUCUCUCAUGAGGUUUUUCUGCCGCUUCCUUGUGUGUGUGGGAGAACCUGAGACCACACAAGGAAGCUUCCAUUCCAGGGACUCUUCCUAAGGCUACAGGUCCUGCUGGCCUCUGGCCUCAUGGAAGUUCUCCUGGGAGUCAGAAACAUCGCUAUCCCUCACCUCUGAGAGAGUCUCUGCCAGUGACAGAAGGUUGGACUCUGGUCCGAUGGAAUUCUGAAGUCCAGUGGCCUCACUCAGCAUGACUCCUACCUAAAUCUCCCCCCAUGUAAGUUUAACUCAAUUUCUCUCCAGCCAUCUCUCAAAUGUUCAUGGAUCACAU